CAAUAGCGUAUAUUAAUGUUGUUGCAGUUAAAAGCUCGUAGUUGGAUUUCUGGUGGGAGCGGCCGGUCCGCCGCAAGGUGUGUACUUGGUUGUCUCCUGUCAUCCUUGUGGGAACUGCUCUGGCAUUAAGUUGUCGGGGUUGGGGAACACAUCGUUUACUGUGAAAAAUUAAGAGUGUUUAAAGUCAGGCUUAUGCCGUUGAAUACAUUAGCAUGGAAUAAUAAGAUAGGACUUUGGCGUCUAUUUUGUUUGGUUUGUCACACCAAAGUAAUGAUUAAUAGGGAUAGUUGGGGGUAGUUCGUAUUUAAUUGUCAGAGGUGAAAUUCUUGGAUUUAUGAAAGACGAACUUCUGCGAAAGCAUUUACCAAAG
rnacentral:rRNA from 1 species